CCAGUUCGGAUCGCAGGCUGCAACCCGCCUGCGUGAAGUUGGAAUCGCUAGUAAUCGCGGAUCAGCAUGCCGCGGUGAAUACGUUCCCGGGCCUUGUACACACCGCCCGUCACACCAUGAGAGUCGGGAACACCCGAAGUCCGUAGCCUAACCGCAAGGGGGGGCGCGGCCGAAGGUGGGUUCGAUAAUUGGGGUGAAGUCGUAACAAGGUAGC
rnacentral:rRNA from 1 species